rnacentral:rRNA from 1 species
AUUGAACGCUGGCGGCAGGCCUAACACAUGCAAGUCGAACGAGUGGCGGACGGGUGAGUAAUGUCUGGGAAACUGCCUGAUGGAGGGGGAUAACUACUGGAAACGGUAGCUAAUCCCGCAUACCAUCGGAUGUGCCCAGAGGGGAUUAGCUUGUAGGUGGGGUAAAGGCUCACCUAGGCGACGAUCCCUAGCUGGUCUGAGAGGAUGAUCAGCCACACGGGAACUGAGACACGGUCCAGACUCCUACGGGAGGCAGCAGUGGGGAAUAUUGCACAAUGGGCGCAAGCCUGAUGCAGCCAUGCCGCGUGUAUGAAGAAGGCCUUCGGGUUGUAAAGUACUUUCAGUUGGGAGGCGUUACCCGCAGAAGAAGCACCGGCUAACUCCGUGCCAGCCGCCGCGGUAAUUC